UGGCAGCUGCACAGAAGCCCUUU
rnacentral:miRNA from 1 species